rnacentral:rRNA from 1 species
UACAGAGGGGGCAAGCGUUGUUCGGAAUUACUGGGCGUAAAGGGCGCGUAGGCGGCCCGCUAAGUCGAACGUGAAAUCCCCGAGCUCAACUCGGGAACUGCGUCCGAUACUGGUGGGCUUGAAUCCGGGAGAGGGAUGCGGAAUUCCAGGUGUAGCGGUGAAAUGCGUAGAUAUCUGGAGGAACACCGGUGGCGAAGGCGGCAUCCUGGACCGGCAUUGACGCUGAGGCGCUAAAGCUAGGGGAGCAAACGGG